GUGCUCGCUUCGGCAGCACAUGUACUAAAAUUAGAACGAUACAGAGAUUAGCAAGGCCCCUGCGCAAGGAUGACACGCAAAUUCGUGAAACGUUCCAUAUUUUA
ensembl:snRNA LOC120093899 U6 spliceosomal RNA